UACAGAGGGUGCGAGCGUUAAUCGGAAUUACUGGGCGUAAAGCGUGCGUAGACGGCUAUCUAAGUCGGGUGUGAAAGCCCUCAGCUCAACUGAGGAAGUGCGCCCGAAACUCACCGUUCUUGAGUGUCGGAGAGGGUGGCGGAAUUCCCGGUCGUAGAGGUGAAAUUCGUAGAUAUCGGGGAGGAACACCAGUGGCGAAGGCGGCU
rnacentral:rRNA from 1 species